rnacentral:rRNA from 1 species
CAAAGCACUUUGAAGAGAGAGUUAAAGAGGACGUGAAACCGGUAAGAUGGAAACGGAUAGAGCCAGCGAAGUCGCUCGUAUUCAGCCAAAGACUCGGUGUCACCGGCUGUCGGGUUUCUAAUCGAGCACGGCAGUUGGUUGGCGCUGUUUCGAGGUGCAUUUGCGGGCGUUUGCGCCGAGACUUGCGGAGCAGCUCUUGGAACCGCGUCUAGAGGCUUCCCUCUGGGUUGUACCUGGGCGUGGCUACAGGUGUUUGCUCUGCUCGUACAUGGGUCUGGCCUACGGGGUCAGGUUGCGCCGUUGUUGCCUAGCGGUGGUAUCGCAUGCGAUGCCUAGCUUGGUGGCUGCGGUUCGGCUUGACUCCACUGACUCGCUCUCGGUGUAGAAGCUGGUCAUCUCUCCGACCCGUCUUGAAACACGGACCAAGGACUUUAGCGUAUGCGCGAGCCAUUGGGUGCAAAACCCACAGACACAAUGAAAGUAAAGGUCCAGUCCCUGGGCUGACAUGUGAGCGCCGCGGCUUCGGCCCUGGUGUGCAGCAUGGUCCCGUUGCAGUCGCUUGCGACGCAGCGGAGACAGAGCGUAUGCGCUGAGACCCGAAAGAUGGUGAACUAUUCCUGAGCAGGACGAAGCCAGAGGAAACUCUGGUGGAAGUCCGAAGCGAUU